rnacentral:rRNA from 1 species
AGAGUUUGAUCCUGGCUCAGAUUGAACGCUGGCGGCAGGCCUAACACAUGCAAGUCGAACGGUAACAGGAAGCAGCUUGCUGCUUUGCUGACGAGUGGCGGACGGGUGAGUAAUGUCUGGGAAACUGCCUGAUGGAGGGGGAUAACUACUGGAAACGGUAGCUAAUACCGCAUAACGUCGCAAGACCAAAGAGGGGGACCUUAGGGCCUCUUGCCAUCGGAUGUGCCCAGAUGGGAUUAGCUAGUAGGUGGGGUAACGGCUCACCUAGGCGACGAUCCCUAGCUGGUCUGAGAGGAUGACCAGCCACACUGGAACUGAGACACGGUCCAGACUCCUACGGGAGGCAGCAGUGGGGAAUAUUGCACAAUGGGCGCAAGCCUGAUGCAGCCAUGCCGCGUGUAUGAAGAAGGCCUUCGGGUUGUAAAGUACUUUCAGCGGGGAGGAAGGGAGUAAAGUUAAUACCUUUGCUCAUUGACGUUACCCGCAGAAGAAGCACCGGCUAACUCCGUGCCAGCAGCCGCGGUAAUACGGAGGGUGCAAGCGUUAAUCGGAAUUACUGGGCGUAAAGCGCACGCAGGCGGUUUGUUAAGUCAGAUGUGAAAUCCCCGGGCUCAACCUGGGAACUGCAUCUGAUACUGGCAAGCUUGAGUCUCGUAGAGGGGGGUAGAAUUCCAGGUGUAGCGGUGAAAUGCGUAGAGAUCUGGAGGAAUACCGGUGGCGAAGGCGGCCCCCUGGACGAAGACUGACGCUCAGGUGCGAAAGCGUGGGGAGCAAACAGGAUUAGAUACCCUGGUAGUCCACGCCGUAAACGAUGUCGACUUGGAGGUUGUGCCCUUGAGGCGUGGCUUCCGGAGCUAACGCGUUAAGUCGACCGCCUGGGGAGUACGGCCGCAAGGUUAAAACUCAAAUGAAUUGACGGGGGCCCGCACAAGCGGUGGAGCAUGUGGUUUAAUUCGAUGCAACGCGAAGAACCUUACCUGGUCUUGACAUCCACGGAAGUUUUCAGAGAUGAGAAUGUGCCUUCGGGAACCGUGAGACAGGUGCUGCAUGGCUGUCGUCAGCUCGUGUUGUGAAAUGUUGGGUUAAGUCCCGCAACGAGCGCAACCCUUAUCCUUUGUUGCCAGCGGUCCGGCCGGGAACUCAAAGGAGACUGCCAGUGAUAAACUGGAGGAAGGUGGGGAUGACGUCAAGUCAUCAUGGCCCUUACGACCAGGGCUACACACGUGCUACAAUGGCGCAUACAAAGAGAAGCGACCUCGCGAGAGCAAGCGGACCUCAUAAAGUGCGUCGUAGUCCGGAUUGGAGUCUGCAACUCGACUCCAUGAAGUCGGAAUCGCUAGUAAUCGUGGAUCAGAAUGCCACGGUGAAUACGUUCCCGGGCCUUGUACACACCGCCCGUCACACCAUGGGAGUGGGUUGCAAAAGAAGUAGGUAGCUUAACCUUCGGGAGGGCGCUUACCACUUUGUGAUUCAUGACUGGGGUGAAGUCGUAACAAGGU